rnacentral:rRNA from 1 species
AGCAGUAGCCGCGGUAAAACGAAGGGUGCAAGCGUUACUCGGAAUUACUGGGCGUAAAGCGUGCGCAGGUGGUGGUUUAAGUCCGUUGUGAAAGCCCUGGGCUCAACCUGGGAAUUGCAGUGGAUACUGGGUCACUAGAGUGUGGUAGAGGAUAGUGGAAUUUCCGGUGUAGCAGUGAAAUGCGUAGAGAUCGGAAGGAACAUCUGUGGCGAAGGCGACUAUCUGGGCCAACACUGACACUGAGGCACGAAAGCGUGGGGAGCAAACAGGAUUAGAUACCCGUGUAGUCCCUGUCUCUUAUAA